rnacentral:lncRNA from 1 species
CUUUACUGCCUCUCUCCAGCCAGCUCCAGCACUACAGGACAGGUAGAGACACAGCAGACAUCGGAAAGAUUUCUUUAAGGCCACCGAGGAGAAAUGAAACUUGGGUCGAUACUAAUGAUUCUUACAGGGAUUGGUGUUUAGAGGGAUGCAGAUGCUUGGCCACCCGUGGAAGUAGCUAUUGGACAGACACACUCAUCCGUGAGGACACAUCAAGCUAGAUCCUGAAGGGGAGAUAGAAGUGUCAUAUAGGCAAACGGGGAGAUUGGAAUUAAAUGUCACGUGGAAAAAAGCCAACAUGGCAUUCUGUUAAGAAGAUAGACAACCUAAGUGACGUCUAUCCUGCUUCAAAGACAAAACUCAGGAGGCUGUACAUUCAUUUAGAGCAGAGUAGACGAAACCUCCUAUUCUCUGGCUUGGGAACCAGGAGGAAUCACUGACUGAGAUUUGCCAACCAGACCUCUAUGAAGUGAGCUCUAUCACAUGGUACGUUUAUGAGAAGAGGAACCAGCAAUGUUUCCUUCCAUCUUCAACUAUACUAACAAGAUCCAUCU